GUUUUCGUGGCCUAGUGGUUAGGGCGUCUGUCUUACAAGUGACUUCUUGGCAUCUCGUCUAAGGUCCCUGUAGAUCACAGAAGAUCGCCGGUUCAAUCCCGGCCGGAAACA